UGGGGAAUAUUGGACAAUGGGCGAAAGCCUGAUCCAGCCAUGCCGCGUGUGUGAAGAAGGUCUUCGGAUUGUAAAGCACUUUAAGUUGGGAGGAAGGGCAGUAAGCGAAUACCUUGCUGUUUUGACGUUACCGACAGAAUAAGCACCGGCUAACUCUGUGCCAGCAGCCGCGGUAAUACAGAGGGUGCAAGCGUUAAUCGGAAUUACUGGGCGUAAAGCGCGCGUAGGUGGUUCGUUAAGUUGAAUGUGAAAGCCCCGGGCUCAACCUAGGAACUGCAUCAAAAACUGGCGAGCUAGAGUAGGGCAGAGGGUGGUGGAAUUUCAUGUGUAGCGGUGAAAUGCGUAGAUAUAGGAAGGAACACCAGUGGCGAAGGCGACCACCUGGGCUCAUACUGACACUGAGGUGCGAAAGCGUGGGGAGCAAACAGG
rnacentral:rRNA from 1 species